AGAGUUUGAUCCUGGCUCAGGAUGAACGCUAGCUACAGGCUUAACACAUGCAAGUCGAGGGGCAGCAUGGUCUUAGCUUGCUAAGGCCGAUGGCGACCGGCGCACGGGUGAGUAACACGUAUCCAACCUGCCGUCUACUCUUGGACAGCCUUCUGAAAGGAAGAUUAAUACAAGAUGGCAUCAUGAGUCCGCAUGUUCACAUGAUUAAAGGUAUUCCGGUAGACGAUGGGGAUGCGUUCCAUUAGAUAGUAGGCGGGGUAACGGCCCACCUAGUCUUCGAUGGAUAGGGGUUCUGAGAGGAAGGUCCCCCACAUUGGAACUGAGACACGGUCCAAACUCCUACGGGAGGCAGCAGUGAGGAAUAUUGGUCAAUGGACGAGAGUCUGAACCAGCCAAGUAGCGUGAAGGAUGACUGCCCUAUGGGUUGUAAACUUCUUUUAUACGGGAAUAAAGUGAGGCACGUGUGCCUUUUUGUAUGUACCGUAUGAAUAAGGAUCGGCUAACUCCGUGCCAGCAGCCGCGGUAAUACGGAGGAUCCGAGCGUUAUCCGGAUUUAUUGGGUUUAAAGGGAGCGUAGAUGGGUUGUUAAGUCAGUUGUGAAAGUUUGCGGCUCAACCGUAAAAUUGCAGUUGAUACUGGGUGUCUUGAGUACAGUAGAGGCAGGCGGAAUUCGUGGUGUAGCGGUGAAAUGCUUAGAUAUCACGAAGAACUCCGAUUGCGAAGGCAGCUUGCUGAACUGUAACUGACGCUGAUGCUCGAAAGUGUGGGUAUCAAACAGGAUUAGAUACCCUGGUAGUCCACACAGUAAACGAUGAAUACUCGCUGUUUGCGAUAUACAGUAAGCGGCCAAGCGAAAGCGUUAAGUAUUCCACCUGGGGAGUACGCCGGCAACGGUGAAACUCAAAGGAAUUGACGGGGGCCCGCACAAGCGGAGGAACAUGUGGUUUAA
rnacentral:rRNA from 1 species